rnacentral:rRNA from 1 species
GCAAUACCUGCCCAGUGCGAAAUAUUACUGUAAACGGCCGCCCUAGCGUGAGGGUGCUAAGGUAGCGAAAUUCCUUGCCUUUUGAUUGUAGGCCUGCAUGAAUGGUUUAACGAGGGUUUAACUGUCUCUAAAUUUUUUAUUGAAAUUGUACUGAAGGUGAAGAUACCUUCAUUAAAAAGUUAGACAAAAAGACCCCGUGCAACUUUGAAAAUUGACUUUAUUCAGGAGUAAAAGAUUUUUAGGUGGGGCGCCUAGAAAGUAAGCCUAACCUUUCUGAGUGACUAACUCUUUCCGGAUUUGACCCGAUUAUAUUCGAUCAUAGGAGAAGUUACGCCGGGGAUAACAGGCUAAUCCUUUAGUAGAGUUCGUAUUGGCUAAAGGGAUUGGCACCUCGAUGUUGAAUCAGGGAUGAUAGCUUCAAGGCGUAGAGGCUUUGA